rnacentral:rRNA from 1 species
UGGUGGAGUGAUUUGUCUGGUUAAUUCCGUUAACGAACGAGACCUUAACCUACUAAAUAGUCACAUCAUUUUCGAAUGAUGGCGGACUUCUUAGAGGGACUAUCGGAUUUAAACCGAUGGAAGUUUGAGGCAAUAACA